CUUGGUCAUUUAGAGGAAGUAAAAGUCGUAACAAGGUUUCCGUAGGUGAACCUGCGGAAGGAUCAUUAUUGAAAUUAUAGGUGAGGGUUGUAGCUGGCCCCUCGGGGCAUGUGCACGCCCGAGCCCUUAAAUCCCACACACACCUGUGAACCUAUUGUAAGGGCCCGUAAAAAAGGCCUUUACGUCUUUAUCACCUACCCGAAGUCUCAUAGAAUGUAAAUGUUAUGUCCUCGCCUUAAAAAAGCGUUGAUAAAAAAAAAUUAUACAACUUUCAACAACGGAUCUCUUGGCUCUCGCAUCGAUGAAGAACGCAGCGAAAUGCGAUAAGUAAUGUGAAUUGCAGAUUUUCAGUGAAUCAUCGAAUCUUUGAACGCACCUUGCGCUCCUUGGUAUUCCGAGGAGCAUGCCUGUUUGAGUGUCAUUAAAUUCUCAAACUCUGAUUGAUUUGUUUCAAUCGGAGGUUUGGAUUUGGAGUGUGCCGGCGUCAAGUCGGCUCCUCUUGAAUGCAUCAGCGGAAUCCCAUUCAUUUCGGACGUCAGUGUGAUAAUCAUGUUGCGCUGUCUUUGCGAUCUUGAAAGCCCGCUCACAAUGGUCUUCGGACAAACCUCACAUAUCAUAUUUGACCUCAAAUCAGGUAGGACUACCCGCUGAACUUAAGCAUAUCAAUAAGCGGAGA
rnacentral:rRNA from 1 species